rnacentral:lncRNA from 1 species
CUGUUUUCUUAUUUGGAAAAUGAGGAUAAUGAUACUGGCCCCUUGGCAUUUUUUUAUUUUUUAAAUUGACAAAUACAACUUGUAUACAUUUAUGGUGUACAGCACGAUGUUUUGACAUCUAUGCACAUUGUGGAAUGGCUAAAUCAAGCUAAUUUAUAUAUGCAUUAUCUCACCUAUUUAUGGAGAGAACACUUAAAGUCUCCUCUCAGCAGUUUUCAAGUAUAUAAUACAUAGCUAUUAACUAUAGACACCAGGUUGUACAAUCGAUCCUUGAACUUAUUUUUCCUGUCUAAGUGAAAUUUUGUAUUCUUUGACCAACAUCUUCCAAUCCUCUCCCCUCCUCGCCCCUGAUAACCACCAUGCUGCUUUCUGCUUCUAUGAGUUUGACUUUUUUAGAUUUCAGUUUUCAGUGAAAUCACACAGUAUUUGUCUUUCUGUGUCUGGCUUAUUUCACUUAACAAUGUCCUCCAGGCUCAUUUUCUUUAUCCGUUCAUUUGUUGAUGGACACUUAGGUUGAUUCUGCAUCCUUGGCUAUUUGAAUAAUACUGCAACAAAAUGGGAGUACAGAUAUCUCUUGGACUGACUUGAUUUCAUUUCCUUUGGAUACAUACCUAGUAGUGAGAUUGUGGGAUCAUAUAGUAGUUCUAUUUUUAGUUUUUUGAGGAACUUCCAUACUGUUUUCCCUAAUGGCUAUUUUUUUUUAAGUCAGAGUCUCACUCUUGCCCAGGCUGGAGUGCAGAGGUGCAAUCUCAGCUCACUACAACCUUUGCCUCCCAGGUUCAAGCGAUUCCCCUGCCUCAGCCUCCUGAGUAGCUGGGACUACAGGCAUGCACUACCAUGCCUGCCUAAUUUGUGUAUUUUUAGUAGAGACGGGGGUUUCACCAUAUUGGCCAGGCUGGUCUCAAACUCCUGACCAGCCCAUAAUGGCUAUUCUAAUUUACACUCCCACCAACAGUGUAUAGGUUUCCUUUUUUCCACAUCCUUGCCAACACUUGGUAUCUUCUGUCUUUUUUAUAACAGCCAUUCUAACAGGUAUUAGGUGAUAUCUUGUGGUUUUAAUUUGCAUUUCUCUGAUGAUCAGUGAUGCAUUUUUUCAUAUACCUGUUGUCCAUUCAUAUGUCUUUUUUUGAGAAAUGUCUAUUCAAGUCCUUUGCCCAUUUUUUAAUUGAGUCAUUUGUUUCCUUGCUAUUAAGUUGAGUCACUUAUAUAUUUUGGAUGUUAACCCCUUAUCAGAUGCAUAGUUUGCGAAUAAUUUCUCCAAUUCCAUUGGUUCUGUCUUUACUGUGUUGAUUGUUUCUUUUACUGUGCAAAAGCUAUCUAGUUUGAUGUAGUCCCAUUUGUCUAUUUUUGCUUUUGUUGCCUAUGCUUUUGGGAUCAUAUCCAAAAAACCAUCACCCAGACUGUCACGGAGCUUUCCCCCUAUGUUUUCUUCUAGUAGUUUUCUUCUAGUGUUGAAGUCUUUCAUCAAUUUUGAGUUGAUUUUGAUGUAAGAGAAGGGUCCAAUUUCAUUCUUCCACAUGUGGAUAUCCAGUUUCCCCAACACCAUUUCUUGGAGAGGCUAUCUUUUCCCCAUUGUGCAUUCUUGGCCCCUUGAUGUUGUUGUGGAGGUUAAGUUAGACUGACUGUGAAUUCUGUUAAGGAAGUUAGGCUGAGCACACAGACAGAGCUCUGCCUUCUCCCGAUGCUCCACUAAACUCGAAGGCAAAAAGGAUUAUUUAUUUAUUUAUUUAUUUAUUAUUUAUUUAUUAUUAUUUUUUAAUUGAUCAUUCUUGGGUGUUUCUCGCAGAGGGGGUUUUGGCAGGGUCACAGGACAAUAGUGGAGGGAAGGUCAGCAGAUAAACAAGUGAACAAAGGUCUCUGGUUUUCCUAGGCAGAGGACCCUGCGGCCUUGUGUCCCUGGGUACUUGAGAUUAGGGAGUGGUGAUGACUCUUAAGGAGCAUGCUGCCUUCAAGCACCUGUUUAACAAAGCACAUCUUGCACCGCCCUUAAUCCAUUCAAACCUGAGUGGACACAGCACAUGUUUCAGAGAGCACAGGGUUGGGGGUAAAGUCACAGAUCAACAGGAUCCCAAGACAGAAGAAUUUUUCUUAGUACAGAACAAAAUGAAAAGUCUCCCAUGUCUACCUCUUUCUACACAGACACGGCAACCAUCCGAUUUCUCAAUCUUUUCCCCACCUUUCCCCCCUUUCUAUUCCACAAAACCGCCAUUGUCAUCAUGGCCCGUUCUCAAUGAGCUGUUGGGUACACCUCCCAGACGGGGUGGUGGCCGGGCAGAGGGGCUCCUCACUUCCCAGUAGGGGCGGCCGGGCAGAGGUGCCCCUCACCUCCCAGACGGGGCGGCUGGCCGGGCAGGGGGCUAACCCCCCACCUCCCUCCCGGACGGGGCGGCUGUCCGGGCGGGGG